AACGAACGCUGGCGGCAUGCCUAACACAUGCAAGUCGAACGAACCCUUCGGGGUUAGUGGCGCACGGGUGCGUAACGCGUGGGGAUCUGCCCUUUGCUUCGGAAUAACAGUUAGAAAUGACUGCUAAUACCGGAUGAUGUCGAAAGACCAAAGAUUUAUCGGCAAAGGAUGAACCCGCGUAGGAUUAGCUAGUUGGUGGGGUAAAGGCCUACCAAGGCGACGAUCCUUAGCUGGUCUGAGAGGAUGAUCAGCCACACUGGGACUGAGACACGGCCCAGACUCCUACGGGAGGCAGCAGUGGGGAAUCUUGGACAAUGGGCGCAAGCCUGAUCCAGCCAUGCCGCGUGAGUGAAGAAGGCCUUAGGGUUGUAAAGCUCUUUUGCCAGGGACGAUAAUGACGGUACCUGGAGAAUAAGCCCCGGCAAACUUCGUGCCAGCCGCCGCGGUAACAC
rnacentral:rRNA from 1 species